GGUUUGCCUGGUUCCUUCAAAACAGAGACUAGAGGAUGCCCAAAUGAUACUGCUCCUUUUGAAGGCUGCCCUCAGAAGGCUUCGUUCUGCACUGGCUGGUAAGCCUCAGUGCUUCAGGCAUUUGAAUUAAAGAUUCCUGGACCAUCCUUCUCAUGUGGUAAUUUUUCUCUUUCCUGGGAAAAUAACUUCUGAUUUCUGACUCAGUGAGUUUCUUCUGUGACAAGAAUGGCCAACAGAGUGAUGUACAGGUUAUGUUUAUGUUUCUCCCUUUUUCUUACUUUUUAAAAAAACUGUGUCUUCUGAAUUGAGCUGAAGCCAAGAACUAGUGUGAGAGUACAGACUUGUGAUAAGUUCUUGUGACUCAGAGACUAUUAUGGGGAAGGUGAGAGGAAGUGAAGAGUGGUGUUCAGAGAUGCUAUUAGCUUGGUAUUUUCUCUAUGUCUCUUUCACACUGUAUGCUUUCUUUUCUUCGCCUUAGAAAGAUUGGCUACCUCUGUAAUAUGAAAUUUAAUAAUGGAAUAUAUUGGUUAUCUAUUAAACUUUGUUUUCUGUA